rnacentral:misc_RNA from 1 species
ACAAGGUUUCCGUAGGUGAACCUGCGGAAGGAUCAUUAUUGAAUUUGAUUUUCUUUCAAUUCUUGUGAAAUAAAGAGAUUGCUUAGGGUCAAAAAUUCCUUUAUAUAUAAUUGAUUUUGGCCCUAACGUUUUCAAAAACACCAUUUAUUUUAAAAUAUCUAAAAACUAAAAGAAAAAAACAUUUUUGUUUUAAAAAAAAAAAAAUCAAAACUUUCAACAACGGAUCUCUUGGUUCUCGCAUCGAUGAAGAACGCAGCAAAAUGCGAUACGUAGUGUGAUCUGCAGGAUUGUGAAUCAUUGAAUUUUUGAACGCACAUUGCGCCUUUUGGUAUUCCGAAAGGCAUGUCUGUUUGAGCGUCAUUUCCUUCUCACAAGCAAUUGUGGUGUUGACGAAUCUACUUUUUUGAAAGAUAAAGAGUAUUUCGUUGAAAGGAAAUGGUGGUACAUUCAGAUCUCGAUACAACUAAAAAACAGUUAGGUUUUUCCAUUUUGUUUUUUACCAUUGGGAAUUUUCUGGAAUAAUUUAUUACCACGUUAAAAAAAAGCCUUGGAAAACUUUUUUGACCUC